CGACGAUCAGCUGCUGCACGCCUAAACCGUGCAGUCCACAGAUCAAACGCGAGUGGCCUGCGCCCCGCAGGUUGAGAUAUGACCGUAGCAGCUCUGCGAAGAGCCCGGCACCCUAGUUCCGUAGGUGAACCUGCGGAAGGAUCAUUA
rnacentral:rRNA from 1 species